rnacentral:rRNA from 1 species
GAUCCUGGCUCAGGAUGAACGCUGGCGGCAUGCCUAAUACAUGCAAGUCGAACGAGAGGAAGGAAAGCUUGCUUUUCUGAAUCUAGUGGCGAACGGGUGAGUAACACGUAGGUAACCUGCCCAUGUGCCCGGGAUAACUUCUGGAAACGGAUGCUAAAACCGGAUAGGUAGCAGACAAGCAUUUGACUGCUAUUAAAGUGGCCUUGGCCAUGAACAUGGGUGGACCUGCGGUGCAUUAG